rnacentral:rRNA from 1 species
GACGAACCGUGCGAACGUUGUUCGGAAUCACUGGGCUUAAAGGGCGCGUAGGCGGGCUGCCAAGUCUGGGGUGAAAUCCCACGGCUCAACCGUGGAACUGCCUCGGAUACUGGCGGCCUCGAGGGAGGUAGGGGCGUGCGGAACUGUGGGUGGAGCGGUGAAAUGCGUUGAUAUCCGCAGGAACUCCGGUGGCGAAAGCGGCGCGCUGGACCUCUUCUGACGCUGAGGCGCGAAAGCUAGGGGAGCAAACGGG